GUAGAGACCAGGCCUGAGGACUUCCUGAGGAGAAACUGACAUGACCAGGGUGAGAUGCUCCCGCUGUUGGACGUCCUCCAUGGAGAGCUGGGCGGAGACCUCCACCAGCCUCAGGGGCAUAGACUCAAGUUCCUGUUCCUUCACCAUAACCCACAUCAUCUGUGAAAUUAGGGCUGUUUCUCCCAGCCUUUGCAUUUAUCUCAAGCUUUGUGAUACACUUCCCUUUUCUUUGUUCUUGCUAUAUCUGUGAUCUUGGUCAAUUUACUUAACUUUCUGGGAUCCCCAGUGUUCUUAUCUGUAAAAUGGGGUAAUAGUAGCCACCUCAUUCAGAGGGGUUCUUAAGGGUUAAAUGAAGCAAUAGUUAGCAGGGAGGCUUCCACAUAAGUUCUCUGGAAGUUAUUUGAUCAUACAAAGGAUCAUUCCCUUGGUUGUGUGGGACAUUUUGAAAAGCAUAUGGAUUAGGGGUAGAAGAGACCUCAGAAGGUGUCUGGAUCAUUCCACCCUAUUUUACAGAUGAGGAAACUGAGGCUCACAGAAGUCACAUGACUGCCGCAAGGACACUCUUGGAUAGUAAAAAUCCAAGCAUGGCCUGCCCCAGAUCUAACUGUUUUGGAUUUCCACACAUAUGUAUUGCAUAUAUUUGUAAGUUGCCUUAAAUCCUCUUUGAACCAAGAUCAGUUAAAAAGAGACUGCUGAUUUGACAGCCUUUCCACACCAUGUCUCCUUCCUGAGAUAAGGGUCCUCAGGAAUGGUAAGUCCUGGCCCUCAUGGGGCUGUUCCCCACUCCUGGGCUCACAGUAGACACUACUGAUCA
rnacentral:lncRNA from 10 species